rnacentral:rRNA from 1 species
UACAGAGGUCUCAAGCGUUGUUCGGAUUCAUUGGGCGUAAAGGGUGCGUAGGUGGCGUCGUAAGUCAGGUGUGAAAUUUCGGAGCUUAACUUCGAAACUGCAUUUGAUACUGCGGUGCUUGAGGACUGGAGAGGAGACUGGAAUUUACGGUGUAGCAGUGAAAUGCGUAGAGAUCGUAAGGAAGACCAGUGGCGAAGGCGGGUCUCUGGACAGUUCCUGACACUGAGGCACGAAGGCCAGGGGAGCAAACAGG